GUCUCUAAUGCUCGAUUUUAGCGGGAUGGGGGCGGGAAUCUGAAAGUAAAGCUAGAAAAAAACCUCCAAAAAUAUGUUUUCACUGUAGAAAUUCACUUUCACCCUAAAAUCUCUCCCAAAUCACUUUCACACUACAACCCCUAAUUAAGCGGCAACUUCAAUUCUCUUCGGAGUUCAGAAGGUUGCAAACUUCAUCAGUUAGAACUCAAAAGGUAGCGAAAUUCACCACUCCAAACUCAGAAGGCUCAAAUCAAGGAAUUGGUGCAGUCCGAACCGUCACUUCCUACCAUAGAUUUUGUAGAAAAAUGCUUUGGACCUCAAAGUUGUAGUCAUGUAUUUGGCUUGGGGGGUGGAGUAAAGGCAAAAGAUUUGAAAGGUGGAACUUUCUCAAAAAUUGAAUUAUUGGCUAAGCUACGUGCAACUGAAAAUGAAAACCAGUCUUUGAAGGAUCGUCUGUCUAACUUCGAAAAUGAGAUGAAAGAAGUGAGGCAAUUAAAAGAAUUAUUAUUAGCACAACAAACCUAUUUCCAGCCUCCAGUUUAGGAGAAUGACUAUUCGGAUCCUUGAUGUACCAAUCUAGGAGAAGAUCAAUAAAGUAACGGAAAGCCCCAGUUAGAAGAUGUUUACUGUAUGUGAUAAUGGAAAGAUGGCCCAAUCUUGCUAUAUUGGUUGAAGUUGGCUAAUUACUUACUCCUUUAAGUUGAAAAGAUCAUUGCCGGAUGGAAGUAAUCAUGUCCUUUUAGUCCGAAACUGUCUUGCAAGGCUACGGCUUCAAUUUCAUUUCACCAGAUGUGUGAAGAAAUCAUUAGUUGCAUAUAGAACAGCACCCUGGCACUUCAUUCGAAAAAGACCAAGUUUAGGAUAUUGAAGUUCAAGAUGCAGAUUUUUUAUGACAUACUGAUUGACCAUCUUUUUGCUGGGAAUGUCAAAAAAAUUUUACAUGUCAAUCGAGGGAUAUUAGUGAUAUAUAGUUUUUUGCUAAAUGUUUAUGAACACAUUGUGACUAGCUUACAUCAUUGAUGUACGGUGCAACUAACUGAUGUUUAUCAUUUUUGGUAAUAUUUUAUGAAAACAUAUCAUCUA